UUAAAUAAAACUCCAAAAAUUGGAAUCUGGCCCUCAAACCCCACAACAGGACUUAAUUAACCUCACCUUCAAGGUGUACAAUAAUUUAAAAAAGUUGCAAUUCCUUGCCUCCACUGUGAGACAAACCCCAGCCACAUCUCCAGCACACAAGAACUUCCAAACGCCUGAACCACAGCAGCCAGGCAUUCCUCCAGAACCUCCUCCCCCAGGAGCUUGCUACAAGUGCCAGAAAUCUGACCACCAGGCCAAGGAAUGCCUGCAGCCCAGGAUUCCUCCUAAGCUGUGUCCCAUCUGUGCAGGACCCCACUGGAAAUCAGACUGUUCGACUCACCUGGCAGCCACUCCCAGAGCCCCUGGAACUCUGGCCCAAGGCUCUCUGACUGACUCCUCGGCUUAGCAGCUGAAGACUGAUGCUGCCUGAUCACCUCAAAAGCCCUGUAGACCACCACAGACGCCGAGCUUCGAGUAACUCUCACAGUGGAAGUGCUGUGCUGCCUUCUGAAUUCUCCUACAAAAAGCAGUGGCCAGGUCGUAUGGUCCUUACAUUCCAGGAAAUUGUAAAGCUCUUCAAACUCUUCAAAUUAUAAAACUCUUCUCUUGAAGACAACCCCUUUUCUUGGCAAAGAGGUAAGAGAAAAUACCAUAAAGAGGAGGGGUGGGAUUAGAGGAGUAAAUGGACCUUACAACUUCUCUUUUGUAACCUAGAGAUUAACAACAGGCUAAAGCUUGCAGAUCCAGUUUCACAAUGUUUUUUUGCACAUGCUGUAGAGGUGAUGCAGCAGCUUCCUGAUGUCCAGGGUUUUGGUGUAUAUUAAAUUGAGACUUCUGCUUAAUCUCCAAGACAACAGGAAGGGUAACAUUUAGCAUAAUCUUAAACACCUACAUAGUAGUUAUUUAUGUAUGCACGAUACCCAUAUACAUCUAUACAUUUACAUACAAGAGCACUCAGAGUUUAUUAUAUCUAUUUAUCAUAUUAUAGAGAUAGAUACAUUUGGAGGAGAGGAAGAGCCCAGGACAGGGAAAAGUUAACUAAUUUCAUACAAUAUUUAAAGCCUAGGAUAUGAAUUGGUGCAGUAUUAAAUCUUCAACUGGUGUUAACUUAAUUAUGUCUUUUACAUACAUUAAUUGUAAGAUUUUGAAAGUUUAUUCCUAGCAUCUCUAUCUGUUGCUACACUCUCACUUCUCAUAUAGGACCUAACUGAAUGUGUUGAGAUACCCAUGAAUCUGCUCCUCUGAUCACAGUUCUGAUGACAUGCAAAAACUACCUUGUAAGUAUAUUUCUUUAGGUAGUGAAACUAUUGAGAAAAACUGAAGAAGCAUCUUGUACUAAAAUUACCUUCAAAUUAUGGGUAACUCCAGUUCAAAUAUCUAGUUUUUUAAAAUCCAGGGAUCAAGAGAAGCAUCUCCAUGAGGGCCUAAUGCCUAUAAGAAAAUAUCAGAGCGGGGACAUUCUGAAGGUUUGUAUCUGACCUAUCUUUGGUUUUAAUCACUGAAGUUCUCGACGUUUUAAUAAGUUGAAGGUGCUGGGUCACAGUCUAACUUAAUAAGGCCCGCCACAGAGAGUUGGUCACCUCUGAUUGCUCCCAUAAGUCUUAGCACAUCUGGUACACUGUCCUUGGUUGAGAAAUGUUUUCCAUAACUUUUCUCUUGUUCACUACCCUGCAUAUAAAUUGUUUUUAUUAACCUGAGAAUGAUACAGCACUGUAUAUUUGUGUGAGCUUUUGCCAUUUUCAGCUUUAUCCUAUGGAAAGAGAGUUGAUUGUUUCCUCCAAAAUGGAAUUAAACACUGUUUAUCA
rnacentral:lncRNA from 1 species